UUAUGGCCAUAUCAUGUUGAAAGACCAAUUCCGAUACAAUCGCCAAAGUUAAGCAACAUCAAGCCUAGUCAGUACCUAGAUGGGUGACUGCUUGGGAAUACCAAGUGCUGUAAG